ACCACUGCGCCAUCGUGCCGGGCCCAGCAUCUGUUCUUAUCAGAUGCUUACCGUCCUCUAAUAUCUUAUACUUCCUCUAUCUGAGGACAACAUAUUAAAUGGAAUUUUGAAGCCUGGAGUUGGAAUAGGAGCUCGCUCCAUCCACUUUGCUCACUGACCUAGUAUUGCAGUAUCUCCAGGAACGGUGCAGCCCAU